UACGUAGGGGGCAAGCGUUGUCCGGAAUCAUUGGGCGUAAAGCGCGUGUAGGCGGCCAGAAAAGUCCGCUGUGAAAACUCGAGGCUCAACUUCGAGCUGUCGGUGGAAACUUUCUGGCUAGAGUCCGGAAGAGGAGAAUGGAAUUCCUGGUGUAGCAGUGAAAAUGCGCAGAUAUCAGGAAGAACACCCGUGGCGAAGGCGGUUCUCUGGGACGGUACUGACGCUGAGACGCGAAAGCGUGGGGAGCGAACAGG
rnacentral:rRNA from 1 species